rnacentral:tRNA from 1 species
GGGAAGGUAGCUCAGUCAGGAAGAGCGGCGACGUGUGCGCAGGUCGCCGGUUCGAAUCCGGCCCUUUCCU